rnacentral:rRNA from 1 species
GAUGAACGCUAGCUACAGGCUUAACACAUGCAAGUCGAGGGGUAACGAGAGGAAAGCUUGCUUUCCUUGUCGACGACCGGCGCACGGGUGAGUAACGCGUAUCCAACCUGCCCCCAACUAGGGAAUAACCUUGCGAAAGUAAGACUAAUACCCUAUAAUUUCCUCAGAUGACAUCUGACGAGGAAUAAAGAUUUAUCGGUUGUGGAUGGGGAUGCGUCUGAUUAGCUUGUUGGCGGGGUAACGGCCCACCAAGGCAACGAUCAGUAGGGGUUCGGAGAGGAAGGUCCCCCACAUUGGGACUGAGACACGGUCCAAACUCCUACGGGAGGCAGCAGUGAGGAAUAUUGGUCAAUGGGCGGAAGCCUGAACCAGCCAAGUAGCGUGCAGGAUGACGGCCCUAUGGGUUGUAAACUGCUUUUAUACAGGAAUUAAGUUAGCCACGUGUGGUUAUUUGUAGGUACUGUAUGAAUAAGGACCGGCUAAUUCCGUGCCAGCCGCCGCGGUAAGAC